rnacentral:lncRNA from 1 species
CUCCUGAUGUCAACAGAAUAUGACAACACAACGUUACACUUCUGCUUACUGUACCUGCAAACACUGGCCUCUGUAAAAUAAAUGUUUUUCUUUAGAAUAAUCCGAACAUAACCCUAAACUAAUCUAAGCCAAUUAAUCUAAAUAUGUUAAUAUUACAUAUGCAACAGGGUGGCAUAAAAGUUCUCUGUAAUUUUAUUUUGUUUUUUAAUAUGACUAAUCUCACUUUGUUCAAUGUCUGAUCAAUGGUUACAAUUACAUGUUCAUGGUAUACAUUGCAUUUAAAACAUUUGUCAGUCAUUUGCAAAAGCACCAUAUGAAAAUAAUCCAAAAAACUCCUGCAAUUUCAGUGUGUGGACAUUUACUCAAUUUGUACCUUAUCAUAUCCUGUAUUACAAGUUAUAAAAAAAAAAUAUGAUCAUACUUCAUUUAAAAAAAAAAAAAAAAAAAAAAACACCCACACCCAGUUUCCCACCCACUAUGUUAAAUAGGGGAAGUUACAUAGGAAUUUUGUAUUUUUCCUGGUGUGGUUCAUUAGAACAGGCUUAUUGUAAGUAAUUGUAAGGACUUAAGUUUGUCUGUUAGUGAAAAGUAAUCAAUUUCUGCUUUCUUAAUUCAGCACCAAACCACUUUUUGAACCCCUUCAAACAGAUGGCUUUACCUAUGAGUGGUCAAGAGAAGAACACGAAACCACACACAAAGACUUCACCUUCAUUUUCAGAGCAAGGCCAACCUGUGAACGAGUGCCCCAGGUCAUUACAGAGGAACAGAGAAUUAGACUUGAUUACUGGGAGUAUAUCAAAGAGUUUGUCUUCUUUGGUGGGUCACAUCGUGAAGGUACAGUGCUUGCCCCGGAUCCAGACUGGAUUGAUCAGGCACACAGGAAUGGGGUCGCCAUAUUUGGCACCGUUUUUUUGCCUCCGCUGGCAAAUGGAGGAAAUGUCAAAGACCUGGAAGAAUUGGCAAAACCGGAGAACCUGCAGAAACUAGUGGACAUCGCCCACCGAUUAAACUUCGAAGGGUGGUUUCUAAAUACCGAAAGCUACGAAGACUAUAAUGAUCUUCGUUUAAAUAUUCUGAAACUUGCAAUUCAGAAAAUGGAUCUCAGGGGAAAACAAAUGAUCUGGUAUUUACCCAGUUCUUAUCAAUGCAAUAACUUUGAUCCACAAUCAAAUGGAGUAAGGAUGACGUGUGAUGACAAAAUCAAUAAUACAGCACCUGCCUUUCUGGAAGAAGAGGGAAAAAAGUUGUAUUUGAAUUUUUAUAAUCUGGUUUGUAGUGUGUUUCUUAAUCAAGCUCCUCGGAGUUACCUCAUGUUUGUUGAUGAACCCUUUUGGGAAAGCAAAUUAAAAGGCAGAGGAUAUUUAGUAGACCCUGUCAGAUUUCCACAUGCGCAGAACUGUCUCAGGCAGUUUUUUCUAGGAGAAAACGGUCUGGAAAGAAAACCAACAGGUCUGUAUCCCUGGUAUGGAAUUGCUAAAUACGCACAACAAAGAAAAUGA